GUCAGAAACUUCUUCUGAUAGAUACUUCUAAAAUGGCCACCAUAUUUGAACUUUCUAGAACAUUCCUCUCCAUUUGAUUGCAAUGCAAAUGAAAUAAAUUCGUCUUCAAUUGUGCUUCAAUUUAGUUGAAACUCGACCAAAUCCUUAAAACAAUAACUAAAUAAAGCAAAGCAAAAAUCUAUGGAGAGAGUAAUAACAGUGAAAGAAGAAGAAAUUACUACUGUAGCUGCUGCUAGCAGCACUUCUUCUUCAUCAUCUUCAAGCUUUUCUCCUCGACCAAUGGAGGGUUUACACGAAAUGGGCCCACCUCCAUUUCUUACAAAGACGUAUGAAAUGGUAGAGGACCCAUCAACUGACUCAGUGGUUUCAUGGAGUCGAGCUCGUAACAGCUUCAUUGUUUGGGAUUCUCAUCAAUUCUCUACUACUCUGCUUCCUAAGUUCUUCAAGCACAAUAAUUUCUCCAGCUUCAUUCGUCAGCUUAAUACUUACGGUUUCAGAAAGAUUGAUCCGGACCGUUGGGAGUUUGCAAAUGAAGGGUUCUUAGGAGGGCAGAGGCAGCUUCUGAAGAGUAUCAAGAGGAGACGAAACGUUUCGAGUACUAUGCAGCAGCAAAACGGAGGAUCUUGUGUUGAAUUAGGACAGUUUGGAUUGGAUUGUGAAGUUGAGAGGCUUAGAAGAGAUAGAAACGUGUUAAUGGUGGAGAUCGUAACGCUUAAGCAGCAGCAACAGAAGUCUAAGGAGCUUAUUGCUUCAAUGGAGGAGAGGUUAAUGAGUACUGAGAAAAAACAGCAUCAAAUGAUCAAUUUUCUUGCGAAAGCUAUGAACAAUCCGUUGUUUAUUCAGCAAUUUUCUCAGAUGAGUGCUCGGAGAAGACAAGUGCCGGGUGUCGAAAUCGGGCGUAAGCGGAGGCUUUCUGCAAGUCCAAGUGUGGAGAAUUUGCAAGAAGAGGAAUUGGGUACUGAUGAAGAGUUGGGAGCUGAGAUUGACACGUUAUUGUCAGCUGAGUUGGACAAGGAAUCGAAUAGUAAUGUUAAUGAGAUAAUUUGGGAGGAUUUGCUGAAUGAUGAUGGGAAUGAUGAAGAAAUUCUUGGCAACGACGAACCAGAACUUGAGUUUGAUGAUUGGGGUGAGGAAUUACAAGAACUAGUUGAUAAAAUGGAAUAUUUAAGGUCAAAGCCAUGGCUUAACAUAUAAAAAAAGUGUUUGUCAUAUUGUACUGAGCUGGUCUCUGCAACUCGGUUAUAAGGCUUGCAGCAAGGCCAACAGAUACUCAAAUUCCUCUGUAUCCUUUAAUGAAUUUGGAUUUCAAUACUGUUUCUAAAUGGUUGCAGAAUUGUGUGUUUUUGUUUUGAUUCUAUGGUGCAUUUUGCAGGCGGACCGGCCAAUGAAGAUUCAUAGGGACUCGACUCGACUCGGUCAUCAACUCUUAUUGCCGAGUCAUUACAAGUUUUAUGUAGAUUUGCUUGUAUAGCUCUGUUGUGCAAUCUUUUGCUGUACAUUAGAAUCUACUACUACUAUAUAGUUUUGACUUACUUUAUAGUAUUUGAUCAUUUGAGCAAGACUAUAAAAUAUUAAUGAAUUAUUAUUCCUGUU